rnacentral:rRNA from 1 species
CAGCCGCCACGGUAAUACGAAGGGUGCAAGCGUUAAUCGGAAUUACUGGGCGUAAAGCGUGCGUAGGCGGUGAGUUAAGUCUGCUGUGAAAUCCCCGGGCUCAACCUGGGAAUGGCAGUGGAUACUGGCUCGCUAGAGUGUGUCAGAGGAUGGUGGAAUUCCCGGUGUAGCGAUGAAAUGCGUAGAGAUCGGGAGGAACAUCAGUGGCGAAGGCGGCCAUCUGGGACAACACUGACGCUGAGGCACGAAAGCGUGGGGAGCAAACAGGAUUAGAUACCCCCGUAGUCCCUGUCUCUUAUAC